GACGAACGCUGGCGGCGUGCCUAAUACAUGCAAGUCGAGCGGACUUGACAGAGCUUGCUCUGUUCAAGUUAGCGGCGGACGGGUGAGUAACAUGUGGGCAACCUGCCCUGCAGAUUGGGAUAACUCCGGGAAGCCGGGGCUAAUACCGAAUAACAUUGCAAACCUCAUGGUCUUCUUUUAAAAGGCGGCUUCGGCUGUCACUGCAGGAGGGGCCCGCGGCGCAUUAGCUAGUUGGUGAGGUAACGGCUCACCAAGGCGACGAUGCGUAGCCGACCUGAGAGGGUGAUCGGCCACACUGGGACUGAGACACGGCCCAGACUCCUACGGGAGGCAGCAGUAGGGAAUCUUCCGCAAUGGACGAAAGUCUGACGGAGCAACGCCGCGUGAGUGAAGAAGGUUUUCGGAUCGUAAAACUCUGUUGUUAGGGAAGAACAAGUACCGGAGUAACUGCCGGUACCUUGACGGUACCUGACCAGAAAGCCACGGCUAACUACGUGCCAGCCGCCGCGGUAAUAC
rnacentral:rRNA from 1 species